GAACAGCUGGGAAAUAUGAAAGUCGCCUGAAGAGUAGAUUUCUAGCCCAAGUUCGAUUUUGGGCACAGACUAGAAAUCAAGUAAAAUCCUUCAUUUAUGAUACCCUUAGUUCUUCCUUCUCUAACUCCAAACUCCCCAAGGAAGUCUGUUUUAAAAGGAGAAAAAAGCAAGUGUCAAAUGAAGAUGGUGACAUAUCAUGAGGGAGUCUAUUAUUUUUUCUUUUCAUAAUUGUAUAACUGACAGAGGAGUGUUAGGCAAGGCCACUCUCAGACUAAACAGAAGUUGGUUGGCAGACGAGUGAUGCACAUGGUUUGUGUAUGUGGAAGCAGGAGGAAAGGGGUUCCUCUUGGGAACAAAUGUCCACAUUGGUUGAUGAGAUUGGACAUGGCACACACCCUCCUGUUGACGCAGAAAUGACCAGUGAAGAAUGACCAGCAUUCAAGGUAAGAAAUGCAUAAUAGAAGAUACAACAGACAAAAACUUCUGAGAACAAAGCUAUAUGAUUGUUCUGAAGAAUGGAGACCAUAUUAUCAUAGAGCCUACCAAGGGGAGAGGAUUUGGAACCACGGAGGAAACUCCAACCAACUGAUGCUGAGCCCUGUUGUCAAGAGGCCUCUACCUGGCUGACUCUGGACUUCCCUGGAUGAGCCUGAUGAACCCUCAUCAGAACAAAGCCUGAACAUCUGCAUAAUUAUCAGUUACAUAGACUCAUUGUUUUAUUUAUAAUUUCCCACUGUAGCUUUCUUUGUCCUUUUUAAAACCCUCUUGCAUGGGGGCCUGUGCUGUGGCACAGCUGGUAAAGCCACCGCCUGCAGUGUUGGCAUUCCAUGUGGGUGCCAGUUCGAGUUUUGGCUGCUCCACUUUUAAUCCAGCUCUCUCUAUGGCCUAGGAAAGUAGCGGAGGAUGAUCCCCUGCACCAGGUGGGAGACCCAGAAGAAAAUCCUGGCUGCUGGCUUCGGACUGACUGUUAAAACCAUCUGGAGAGUGAACCAUCAUAAGGAAGACCUCUCUCUCUCUCCCUGCCACUGCCUCUUUAUAAUUCUGCCUCUCAAAUAAAUAAAUAAAUCUAAAAAAAAAGAAUAAACUU
rnacentral:lncRNA from 1 species